GAUGAAGAACGCAGCGAAAUGCGAUAAGUAAUGUGAAUUGCAGAAUUCAGUGAAUCAUCGAAUCUUUGAACGCGCAUUGCGCCCCUUGGUAUCCCGAGGGGCAUGCCUGUUCGAGCGUCAUUUCACCACUCAAGCCUGGCUUGGUGUUGGGCGACGUCCUCUUUGGGGACGCGCCUCGAAACGCUCGGCGGCGUGGCACCGGCUUUAAGCGUAGCAGAAUCUUUCGCUUUGGAAGUCGGGGCCCCGUCUGCCGGAAGACCUGCUCGCAAGGUUGACCUCGGAUCAGGCAGGGAUACCCGCUGAACUUAAGCAUAUCAAUAAGCGGAGGA
rnacentral:misc_RNA from 1 species